rnacentral:rRNA from 1 species
CCUACGGGUGGCAGCAGUGAGGAAUAUUGGUCAAUGGGCGAGAGCCUGAACCAGCCAAGUAGCGUGAAGGAUGACUGCCCUAUGGGUUGUAAACUUCUUUUAUAAGGGAAUAAAGUCGGGUGUGGAUCCCGUUUGUAUGUACCUUAUGAAUAAGGAUCGGCUAACUCCGUGCCAGCAGCCGCGGUAAUACGGAGGAUCCGAGCGUUAUCCGGAUUUAUUGGGUUUAAAGGGAGCGUAGAUGGAUGUUUAAGUCAGUUGUGAAAGUUUGCGGCUCAACCGUAAAAUUGCAGUUGAUACUGGAUAUCUUGAGUGCAGUUGAGGCAGGCGGAAUUCGUGGUGUAGCGGUGAAAUGCUUAGAUAUCACGAAGAACUCCGAUUGCGAAGGCAGCCUGCUAAGCUGCAACUGACAUUGAGGCUCGAAAGUGUGGGUAUCAAACAGGAUUAGAUACCCUUGUAGUC